UAGAGUUUGAUCCUGGCUCAGGAUGAACGCUAGCGGCAGGCUUAACACAUGCAAGUCGAGGGGUAACACGGGUGCUUGCACCUGGUGACGACCGGCGGAUGGGUGAGUAACACGUAUGGAACCUGCCCCUUACUGGAGGAUAGCCCGGAGAAAUCCGGAUUAAUACUCCGUAAUAAAGGAAGUGGCAUCGCUUCUUUUUGAAAGCUCCGGCGGAAAAGGAUGGCCAUGCGCCCGACUAGC
rnacentral:rRNA from 1 species